rnacentral:tRNA from 1 species
GCAUUUGUGGUUCAGUGGUAGAAUCUCAUCUUCCAUGCAAGAGAACCAGGUUUGAUUCCUGGCCAACGCA